AGAGUUUGAUCCUGGCUCAGGGUGAACGCUGGAAACGUGGAUACCGGCAUGCAAGUCAAGGGGGCCUUCGGGCAACCGGCGAACGGCAUAGUAACACGUGGGUACCAACCCUAAAGUGGGGCAUAGCUCGUCGAAAGACGGGGUAAUUUCCCAUAGCACCGAAAGGUUAAAGUAGCAAUACGCUUUUGGAUGGGCCUGCGGCCUAUCAGAUAGUUGGCGAGGUAAUAGCUCACCAAGUCUAUGACGGGUAGGGGGCGUGAGAGCGCGACCCCCAAGAAUGGCACUGCGACACGGGCCAUACUCCUACGGGAGGCUGCAGUCGAGAAUCUUCCGCAAUGGACGAAAGUCUGACGGAGCGACGUUACGUGAAUGAUGAAGCCCUUCGGGGUGUAAAGUUCUUUUAUGUAUGAGGAAGUCAUGAC
rnacentral:rRNA from 1 species